rnacentral:rRNA from 1 species
UACGUAGGGUGCAAGCGUUGUCCGGAAUUAUUGGGCGUAAAGAGCUCGUAGGCGGUCUGUCGCGUCGGAUGUGAAAAUCCAGGGCUCAACCCUGGACCUGCAUUCGAUACGGGCAGACUAGAGUUCGGCAGGGGAGACUGGAAUUCCAGGUGUAGCGGUGAAAUGCGUAGAUAUCUGGAGGAACACCGGUGGCGAAGGCGGCAUCCUGGACCAAUUCUGACGCUGAGGAGCGAAAGCCAGGGGAGCAAACGGG